GAUUCUUAGUUAAACUAUUCUUUGU
rnacentral:tRNA from 1 species